rnacentral:tRNA from 2 species
GGUCCCGUAGCUCAGAAGGAUAGAGCGGCCGCCUCCUAAGCGGUAGGUCGCGCGUUCGAAUCGCGCCGGGAUCACCA